rnacentral:sRNA from 1 species
GCCCAUAAGGAAAUCUACAAGCAUGGAUUCUGGUUCUUCAGAGAGUCCUGCUAGUCUAAAGCGAGUAGCCUCUCCAGCAGCCAAGCCGGUCGUUUCGGGAGAAGGGCUCUGGAACUGCUGGGAAAACAGGGAGUUUAGGAAAAAAACCUGAAAUUGCCCAGGUUAUUGCCUCAUACACCGCCACCGGCCCCGAGCAGCUCACUCUAGCCCCUG